GGGGAAUAUUGCACAAUGGGCGCAAGCCUGAUGCAGCGACGCCGCGUGGGGGAUGACGGCCUUCGGGUUGUAAACUCCUUUCGCUAGAGACGAAGCUUUUUGUGACGGUACCUAGAUAAGAAGCACCGGCUAACUACGUGCCAGCAGCCGCGGUAAUACGUAGGGUGCGAGCGUUGUCCGGAAUUACUGGGCGUAAAGGGCUCGUAGGUGGUUUGUCGCGUCGUCUGUGAAAUUCCGGGGCUUAACUCCGGGCGUGCAGGCGAUACGGGCAUAACUUGAGUACUGUAGGGGUAACUGGAAUUCCUGGUGUAGCGGUGAAAUGCGCAGAUAUCAGGAGGAACACCGAUGGCGAAGGCAGGUUACUGGGCAGUUACUGACGCUGAGGAGCGAAAGCAUGGGUAGCGAACAGGAUUAGAUACCCUGGUAGUCCAUGCCGUAAACGGUGGGCGCUAGGUGUGAGGGUCUUUUCGCGACUUUCGUGCCGUAGCUAACGCAUUAAGCGCCCCGCCUGGGGAGUACGGCCGCAAGGCUA
rnacentral:rRNA from 1 species